rnacentral:rRNA from 1 species
AAGCGAGCGGCGGAUGGGUGAGUAACACGUGGGGAACCUGCCCCUAAGUCUGGGAUACCAUUUGGAAACAGGUGCUAAUACCGGAUAAUAAAGCAGAUCGCAUGAUCAGCUUUUGAAAGGCGGCGUAAGCUGUCGCUAAGGGAUGGCCCCGCGGUGCAUUAGUUAGUUGGUAAGGUAACGGCUUACCAAGGCGACGAUGCAUAGCCGAGUUGAGAGACUGAUCGGCCACAUUGGGACUGAGACACGGCCCAAACUCCUACGGGAGGCAGCAGUAGGGAAUCUUCCACAAUGGACGCAAGUCUGAUGGAGCAACGCCGCGUGAGUGAAGAAGGUUUUCGGAUCGUAAAGCUCUGUUGUUGGUGAAGAAGGAUAGAGGUAGUAACUGGCCUUUAUUUGACGGUAAUCAACCAGAAAGUCACGGCUAACUACGUGCCAGCAGCCGCGGUAAUACGUAGGUGGCAAGCGUUGUCCGGAUUUAUUGGGCGUAAAGCGAGCGCAGGCGGAAAAAUAAGUCUAAUGUGAAAGCCCUCGGCUUAACCGAGGAACUGCAUCGGAAACUGUUUUUCUUGAGUGCAGAAGAGGAGAGUGGAACUCCAUGUGUAGCGGUGGAAUGCGUA